AAUUGGUCUUAGGGUUUAGACAGCCCCAUUUCUUCAAUACUAUCAUCAGAGACCGCAACUGAUACUCAUCUUCUUCUUCUUCUUCUUCAAUACUCAUCAACUGUUCAAGGAAUCGGGUUGUCCAAGUGAGAAAAUUAUUCAAUUGAGAAAAUUGUUAAGUGACCUUUGGUUUUCUUCAUUCAAUUUAGUUUGAAUCGUUCAUUGUACAUGUAUCUCUGUGACUGGGAAAGAAAAGAACUGAUGGUUUUGGGCUCUCCAUACAAUUUGUGAGAUAAACCUUCAAGUUAAAUAGGUUCACAGCCUUCUCCUGUUCUUCGUUUACCUGAAAUGGCUGGUACCUCUGGAUUUUUCUUUUGCAAUUUUCUCCGUAGCCUCUUGUGAUAAACUGAGCCUCCAUGUGCAAGUAAUUCCUUCCGAGAUGGAGUUUCAUCAUAUUGUUCCUCAUGAAGGUGAAAUGGAUGGUAAAGAAGGAAGUGAAGAUGGAAAGACCCCAGAUCCACCUAUUUGGACAAAGGAAGCCUAUGAUACUCUCCCUUGCGAUGCCUGAUACCAAGAAAAACCUCACUACCUUAGUGAAAUCAUUUAGUGAAUGUCGUCCAUUGAAGGAGCUUUCUAAUCUUACUUGGAUAAAUGGUAAUCGAGAUAAUAUCGAUGAAAUGUCCAACCCCAAUUCAUCAUCACUUCUUCUUUCAAUAUUGAAGAUGAUAGAUAGGGUGUUUUUAUUAAUCAAGCGUUUAUUGAGCCUUUUGGACUAACUUGGAUUGAGUGGAUUGCGAUGCUAGCUCAAGACUCUCUACAAGUGUGAAAAAGAUAUUUGAGGCUGUAGAGAAGGAAAGGACAGAGGGUUCCAUUGCAUUUAUCAUGGAUUUAUCUUUCAAUAUAUCAGAAGUACAGUCUUUCCUAGUUUCAGAGGGCAUGAAUCCUACUAAUUUUGAUGCUUACAUAUGCAAUAGCGGUGGUGAUCUCUAUUAUUCAUCCUUCCACUCUAAAUAAAAUCCUUUUGUAGUUGACUUGUACUAUCACUCACAUAUUGAGUAUCGUUGGGGGGACAAAGGGUUGAGGAAGACUUUGGUGCGUUGGGCAGCUUCUAUCAUUGACAAGAAGGAUAAAAAUGAAGACCACAUUAUUGUUGAGGAUGAAGACAAAUCAGCUGACUACUGCUAUACUUUCAAAGUCUGCAAGCCUGGGACAAUACAUUGACUAGUUUUCUCUAUCUUUUGGUGUUCUUUUUUCCUUCUUAAUUUCUCUUUUUUGACUUUUUAUUCACACCUCUUGUCACCCUAGGGGCGGUUCAACGCAGUGCUACUGCGGCAGUAGCAAAAGCUUUCAUAUUUUAUUAUUUGAGAAUCUGCUUUCACUAAUGCUGGCUGCUAAAUCAAGCUAGUUACUGGUUCAUGCUUGUGCUAGAUAUUCUUUGAAAUAUCUGACAUCUAUUUCUUCCAAGCAUCUGAUGUUAUAAUGCAAUUGCAGGUCAAUAACAUUUCUAUUUACACUCUCAUAAGUAAUUGUUGUUUAUUGAUAUUGCAGGUUCCUCCAGUUAAAGUACAUAGAAAAAUAAUGUGAAUUCAGGAACUUCGUUGUCAUGCUGUUUAUUGUAAAAAUGGGAGUAAGAUUAAUAUGAUCCCUAUGCUGGCAUAUCUGUCCCAAGCACUAAGGUGAUCAUGACAUAGAAGAUGGCGGGAACGAAAUUGAUGAACUAGACCUGACCUAAGAGAUCAAUCACAUUGGCUUUAUGUUACGCUAGCUGUUGGAAACUUUGACCGAGUAGUUUCAAACUUCUUUUAUUUUUGAACAUUCAAAACAUGUGUAUGUUUUGGUUUUUUUGAAUGGUCAAAAAAUAUUUGGUUUCUUAUUGAUUGACAUUUUGGGAAUUAAUAGUUACUAGUACUCUUGAUGAUGAAUAUAUAUGUACAUUUUAUGUGUUA